rnacentral:rRNA from 1 species
CAGCCGCCGCGGGAAUACGUAGGGUGCGAGCGUCAAUCGGAAUUACUGGGCGUAAAGCGUGCGCAGGCGGUUCGUUAAGACAGAUGUGAAAUCCCCGGGCUUAACCUGGGAACUGCAUUUGUGACUGGCGAGCUAGAGUAUGGCAGAGGGGGGUAGAAUUCCACGUGUAGCAGUGAAAUGCGUAGAGAUGUGGAGGAAUACCGAUGGCGAAGGCAGCCCCCUGGGCCAAUACUGACGCUCAUGCACGAAAGCGUGGGGAGCAAACAGGAUUAGAUACCCCUGUAGUCCCUGUCUCUUAUAC